rnacentral:rRNA from 1 species
UGCAGUCGAGCGGACGGAUGGGAGCUUGCUCCCUGAAGUCAGCGGCGGACGGGUGAGUAACACGUGGGCAACCUGCCUGUAAGACUGGGAUAACUUCGGGAAACCGGAGCUAAUACCGGAUAAUGCAUUUCCCCUCAUGGGGAUAUGCUGAAAGAUGGUUUCGGCUAUCACUUACAGAUGGGCCCGCGGCGCAUUAGCUAGUUGGUGAGGUAACGGCUCACCAAGGCAACGAUGCGUAGCCGACCUGAGAGGGUGAUCGGCCACACUGGGACUGAGACACGGCCCAGACUCCUACGGGAGGCAGCAGUAGGGAAUCUUCCGCAAUGGACGAAAGUCUGACGGAGCAACGCCGCGUGAGUGAUGAAGGUUUUCGGAUCGUAAAACUCUGUUGUCAGGGAAGAACAAGUGCCGGAGUAACUGCCGGCACCUUGACGGUACCUGACCAGAAAGCCACGGCUAACUACGUGCCAGCAGCCGCGGUAAUACGUAGGUGGCAAGCGUUGUCCGGAAUUAUUGGGCGUAAAGCGCGCGCAGGCGGUCUCUUAAGUCUGAUGUGAAAGCCCACGGCUCAACCGUGGAGGGUCAUUGGAAA